CAGGGCCUAAACGAUGUUCUCUUGCUUUUCGGAGUAUCGACCCUCUGGGAGGCGAAGCAAACGCGAUAAGAGAACCGCCUGGGAAGUACGGUCGCAAGGCUAAAACUCAAAGGAAUAGACGGGGACUCGCACAAGUAGUGGAUUAUGUGGUUUAAUUCGACGAUAACCGAAAAACCUCACCCAGACUAGAAAUCAAGACGAAUCCAGGAAGAAACUUCUGGAGCCUUCGGGCGGCUUGACAGGUGA
rnacentral:rRNA from 1 species